AACGAACGCUGGCGGCAUGCCUAACACAUGCCAGUCGAACGAGACCUUCGGGUCUAGUGGCGCACGGGUGCGUAACGCGUGGGAACCUGCCCUUAGGUUCGGAAUAACUCCCCGAAAGGGGUGCUAAUACCGGAUAAUGUCCUCGGACCAAAGAUUUAUCGCCUUUGGAUGGGCCCGCGUUAGAUUAGCUAGUUGGUAGGGUAAAAGCCUACCAAGGCGACGAUCCAUAGCUGGUCUGAGAGGAUGAUCAGCCACACUGGGACUGAGACACGGCCCAGACUCCUACGGGAGGCAGCAGUGGGGAAUAUUGGACAAUGGGCGAAAGCCUGAUCCAGCAAUGCCGCGUGAGUGAUGAAGGCCUUAGGGUUGUAAAGCUCUUUUACCCGGGAUGAUAAUGACAGUACCGGGAGAAUAAGCUCCGGCUAACUCCGUG
rnacentral:rRNA from 1 species